GAGGAGUCGCUCCAGUUACUUCGUUCCGCAGAUUCUGGCCAGCGAUUCUGACUUUUGUUCAUGUGCUUGUCCUGAGGCUUCCAGGUGUGCCACUCCCUCGGCGGGGGCACCGGUUCCAAGAUCAGGGAGCAGUACCCGGGCCGGAUGAUGCUCACCUUCUCCGUGUUCCCAUCUCCAAAGGUCUCUGACACGGUGGUCGAGCCCUACAACGUCACUCUCUCGGUUCACUGGCUGGUGGAGAACGCCGACGAGUGCAUGGUGCUGGACAACAAGGCGCUCUACGACAUUUGCUUCCGCACCCUCAAGCUGACCACACCUAGCUGGAAUUUCAAGGGUGAGGAAGCUGAGUGAACUAUUUUCUGCUGACAGUAGGUGGUGGAAUGAGGACACUCUCCAAGAGAACUUCUUAACACCAGACAUCUGGGUGAUAAAGAAGACCCCUCUUGGAAAAUUGGACCAGGAUAUGUGGGUGUGAUCCAGAAUUUUUUGCCUGUCAGGGCUAACUUGCACCUCCAUCCCUACGCCCCUUUGAUUACAUUUGCAAUUCAAUAUGCAAAUAAGCUGGAUGCUUGGAUGCCCGUGGUGAGUGAAGUAUGGCUUUAGUCUAUCGGUUAAGCUGACUAACUGUUUCAAAAUCUUGAACUAAUGUUUUUUGUGACACCUGAACUGAAGUUGGUCAUGCUAACAAAACCUUCAACUUAUUAGAACAGAAAUUGUAACAACAGUUUAGCUUAUUGUUCUGUGAAGUAACUACUGUUGUACCAGGAAAUUUUGUGCACGUGCAUUCAAUUACAGGUUAUCCGAGCCUGCUUGCACUUGCAACUGAUCAAUGCCGAUCUAGUUGUUCUCAGGAUAGAUAAAAAUCAGUUCUUGUUCAUUAUAGAGGGCAUCCAACAUAAAUAAGAUUUUUAAAUCUGACAAAACAUUUUUAUUGUACAAUUCAGUCUGAAAGAUAAGAUCAAACUUAUCUGCCACUAUAGAGGGAAUCAAACGUAAAAUAGGUGACAUGCAGAUAUUGACAUACGAUUACAUUUUUAUGGCAUUACUAAUCCAGUUAUGGUUCCAUUGUUGUCGCACACCGAACGUUCAAUGAAUUUCUUGAAGAAAAUGUGUGGAGUCUUUUGUUGUCUGCUUCAACCAGGUAAAAUCCUAUUGGUUAUUCUAAUCAUACAAUCUUCCGAUCCAAUUUUGUGAGCUUAGUACAGUAGGAUUCUUAUUUUUGUAAGGCUUCCCAGUAGAUAUAUUGGAGCUGCCCCUUCCUCUUCUACUGUUCUAUCUCUACUUCUUUCCCUUCUACUUGAUAGUCAAAAAUUUAGUACAUCUCCAUGCUCAUGGUUCUUCAGCAUAUAUAGUCUACUAUGUAAUUCUCUGUACAACCCAUUUAACUCUGCAACAACCACUAAAAUAUAUCUGUAAGCUUGCAUAGGAAUAAUUCAUUUUUUUAUUGUUGUUUGGUUAUUGUGGUUCACAGCCAAUUUCUUUAGGCUUUAAGCAUAUGGUAGGAUUACACUAACAAUCCGAGUAAAUAGUAUUUGGUCCUUUUGAUUAUGUUUCAUGGCAAUAAGUAUGUUUCCUUGUGGUGCAAUUUGUUUCCUGCAAUUGAUAACUCAACUUUUUUGCAGGGAGGUAACUACAUUUCUUCCGUUGCUGAAAAAGCUGAGGUGAAUUCUAUGACAGUGAGGGUUGAUGAUAGGAGCACAAGUAAUUCUGAUGUGUCUUAGAUAAGAUGCUAUAAGGAUUACAUAACUUUCUUUACCAAUCACAGUACCGACGGUGGCAGGCCAUGCUUUCUAUCUGCAGUUCUCCAACUAAAAGUCUAACUGCAGGAGUAUGUAGAAUCUUCUUUACUUAACUAGCUUAUACUCACGGACAUAUCGUGAAGCACAAGCAGCCUUGCAACCACAAACCUUGCAGACUUCUCUUUUCAUAUCCAAACUUUGCAAACAUUUCAUUCAUGUUUUUAAACUUAUUCUACGUUUAUUUUAGUGCACCAAGAAAAAAUAAAUUUGUGACCAUUUGUGCUUA